rnacentral:rRNA from 1 species
CAGUCGCCGCGGGAAUACGAAGGGGGCUAGCGUUGUUCGGAAUUACUGGGCGUAAAGCGCACGUAGGCGGAUAUUUAAGUCAGGGGUGAAAUCCCAGAGCUCAACUCUGGAACUGCCUUUGAUACUGGGUAUCUUGAGUAUGGAAGAGGUGAGUGGAAUUCCGAGUGUAGAGGUGAAAUUCGUAGAUAUUCGGAGGAACACCAGUGGCGAAGGCGGCUCACUGGUCCAUUACUGACGCUGAGGUGCGAAAGCGUGGGGAGCAAACAGGAUUAGAUACCCCGGUAGUCCCUGUCUCUUAUAC